GAAACUAUUAUGGAAUUGAAUGCUAUGUAUCAAAGAGAAUAAUUUAUAAAAAAAAUAAGAUUUAUUUUAAUUAUAUAAACUCUAAGAGAAAUUAAAUACUAAACGAAGUGAAUUGAAAUAUCUUAGUAACUUUAGGAAAACAAAUCAAAAGAGAUUCUAUGAAUAGCGUGAGUGAAAGUAGAGCAGCCUAAAAAGUAAAACGGUACAAAACUGUUUGAAUAAAAUGGGGAACCUUCCUCAAAGGCUAAAUAUGGUACAUAAGCAAUAGUGAAAAGUACCAUGAGGGAACUAAGUGAAAAUAGUAGUUUUAUAAGCAGUUCGAAAAAAAGAACGUACCUUUUGCAUAAUGGGUCACCAAGUUAACAUUAGAUGCGAGCAUACGCGUAGUUAAACCGAACGUUAAAAUAACGAAAUAGUGUCUAAAGUUAGACCCGAAGCACGGUGAUUUUACCAUAGUCAGGAUUAUAAAAGUCCGAACGGGUGAUUGUUGCAAAAAUCUCCGAGGAACUGUGGUAGGUGUAGUGAAAGACAACACUGACUGUGAUAGCUGGUUUUCUGCGAAACCUAUAAUAGUAGGCAAUUUAAGAAAAUAUCUUAGCAGGUACAUAAUUUAAUCUCAGACAAGACGUGUAAACGUUUUAUUUUGUACAAAUUGGGGGAUCAUGAAGAUCUUAUCAGUGAGUAUGUAGAUUCGAAAUGGCAAAGAUAUCCUCUUGAAUUAUCAGACAUAGAAUGAUAAGGUUGUAUGUCAAAAGGGAAACAGCCCAGAACAAGAGUUAAGGUUCCUAAAUUAUUAGUUAAGUGAAAUUAAGAAAGUUUUUAUUAAAGUCGACAAGGAAAUAGGCUUAGAAGCAGCCAUAAUUUUAUGACCUCGUAACAGAGCGCUUGUUAAGUUAUAAAAGCAUCGAAAAUUUAACGGAUCUAAACAAUAUACCGAAACCUUGUCUUUUUACAUAACAUAUGUUCACUUAUAGAUAAUAAAUCUUGAUAUGUUCUAUAUCCAUAUAUAAGAAUAUGUUAUUAUGUAGGCUUAAGAAGCAUAUAUAUAAAAGGUAAAAAUAGUUUAAUAUAAAUAGGUUGUAUAGAGUAAGUACAAGACUUGCAUACUUCGUAUGUAAACUUCUUUUUUCUUGUAACUAGAAAUGAUAGUAGUACAACUCUUUGUUACAAUAUUGUAACAAUAUUCUAAUAAUAUUGCAUUUAAUUAUACAGUAGUCUAACACUAUGUUAAUUAACUAUUUAUAGGGAACUAUCCUUAUAGUAAAAAGGGUAGCAGAACGUUGAGUGAAUAAUGAAUUUUAUUUUUUAAAUAGAAUUCUAAUAAUAUAACUCAAGUGAUAAUGGUGACAUGAGUAACUAAAAGAAAAUUUUCCGCCUUAAGCUUAUGGUUAGAGUUAAGUAACGGCCUCUAAGUUUAAUAUCUAAAGAUUUAAACGAUGAGAAAAUCUUUUUUACUAAAAACAACAUUUUAGUGUAAAAUGUGCAGGAAAAAUAGUAAAUAUAUUUGGAUAUCUGGUCAUACAGACUAGAAAACAAAUGAACAAUAACCGUACCUAGAUUCUAUUAAAAGUAAGCUAGUAGAGAAUACGAAGGCGUAAAUGAGCUAACAAUCAUAAAGGAACUCGGCAAAUUGACUACUGUACCUUCGGAAUAAGGAGGGCUCGUAUUUCUUGACCCAUAUCAAGAAAAAUGAAGAAGCAUAAAAUAAUGUUGUACGACUGUUUAAUUAAAACACAGCACUUUGCUGAAAGAUAAAAAAUCUAAGUAUAAAGUGUGAAAUCUGCUCAGUGCCGGCCGGUUAACAGAGAUUAUUAAAUAUCCUAAUAUUUGAAAUCAACGGAAACCCCGGUUAAAAGCGGCCUUAACGUGAGGGUCCUAAGGUAGCGAAAUGCCUUGGCCGUUAAAUGCGGUCUUGCAUGAAUGGUGUAACGAUACAACAGCUGUCUCUAUGAUUGACUCAGUGAAAUUG
rnacentral:ncRNA from 1 species